CCUACGGGAGGCUGCAGUGAGGAAUAUUGGUCAAUGGCCGGAAGGCUGAACCAGCCAUGCCGCGUGAAGGUCAGUGCCCUAUGGGCGUUAAACUUCUUUUGUGCGGGAGCAAGAAUGGGCACGGGGGGCCAGACGAGAGUACCGUACGAAAAAGCAGCGGCGAACGCCGGGCCAGCAGCCGCGGGAAUACGGGGGAUGCAAGCGUUAUCCGGAUUUCGUGGGUUUCAAGGGGGCGGAGGCUGGGAGGUAAGUCAGCGGUGAACUGCCCCCGCUCAACGGGGUGAAGUGCCAUUGAUACUGCCUUGCUGGACUGCGGAUGCCGUGGGAGGACUGUGUGUUGUAGCGGU
rnacentral:rRNA from 1 species